GAAGGGACGUAACUAUCUGAAAACAUUGGAAAGGUCAGGCCUAGUUGUGAGAACCCAACAAGAAGCUAAGCAAAUAACGAAGAAUGAGCCACAAAAGAGUGAUGAAGACUUCGAUUCUGGUCACCGGCCUCCAAGACACAAUUCUCAGAUGAAGGGUCGAAAGAAGUUACAGUGGCAAUGGUUGGCUAAUGCCCCAAAAGCUAUGGUGCCUAAAUCAAUGAGAACCCAACAAGAAGCUAAGCAAAUAACGAAGAAUGAGCCACAAAAGAGUGAUGAAGACUUCGAUUCUGGUCACCGGCCUCCAAGACACAAUUCUCAGAUGAAGGGUCGAAAGAAGUUACAGUGGCAAUGGUUGGCUAAUGCCCCAAAAGCUAUGGUGCCUAAAUCAAGGAGCUACAAUCCUCAACCUCAGCUACCUCUACUCCAGAGUGACUCAUGGAUGCACAACAACCUACCUUAUGCGAC